GGCGCAGGAGACCCAUCUUCUUUUCUACAUGCUCCCUCCAUCGCAAACUAGGUGAUCAGUGAAGGUGUUGUGCUCCUGCGACACACAGAGAGAGGUCGUCUUGGAGAUGCCACUGCCCACCCAUUUAUGACUGCUGCAUCAGAGGAAAGCCAGCGCAGAUACCACCACGCCAUGUCCAAGCAAUUAUAGGCACAUGCAGAGGAAAGCCAUGGUGGUAAAGUGGACCUUCAGAUCAGGUUUCUGCACAGUGAUAUUAUCCAGCACAGCAGUGAUGUCCCAGCAGGCAGCUCUUGUCUGCCAAGGGGGCUUGCCUAGGAAAUGGUCCCCUCCUCUCUCUGGCUGCUAGUUUGGCACAACUGGUGGGAAAUAACUGGGGAAUGGCAAGUAUCUUUCCAUGCAUUGCCCAGCAGUGAGUAAAGGCAAACCAUUGUUUCCGGAUGACCCAGCCUACCUUGGUUUUAUGCGGGCAAUAAACACAUCGGCUUGGAUAGGAGCACCUUUUUA